AGCUGCUGGAGCCGCGACCAUGGAGGAGUCUGGCAUGUCUCAUGAAUCAGCAGAGGACUUGUUUCAUUUCAACGUAGGGGGCUGGCAUUUCUCAGUUCCCAGAAGCAAACUCUCUCAGUUUCCAGACUCCCUGCUGUGGAAAGAGGCUUCAGCCUUGACCUCUUCAGAAAGCCAGAGGCUAUUUAUCGACAGAGAUGGUUCCACAUUUAGGCACGUGCACUAUUACCUCUACACCUCCAAACUCUCCUUCUCCAGUUGUGCAGAACUGAACUUGCUGUAUGAGCAAGCAUUGGGUUUGCAGCUGAUGCCUUUGCUGCAGACUCUAGAUAACCUGAAGGAAGGGAAACACCAUCUACGCGUGCGGCCUGCAGACAUACCUGUUGCUGAGAGAGCAUCUCUGAACUACUGGCGUACGUGGAAGUGUAUUAGCAAACCCUCAGAGUUUCCAAUCAAAAGCCCCGCCUUCACAGGCCUACAUGAUAAGGCACCUCUGGGGCUCAUGGACACACCCCUGUUAGACACAGAAGAGGAGGUGCACUACUGCUUCCUGCCCCUAGACCUGGUGGCCAAAUAUCCCAGCCUAGUGACUGAAGACAACCUGCUGUGGCUGGCUGAGACGGUGGCCCUCAUCGAGUGCGAGUGCAGCGAGUUCCGCUUCAUUGUGAAUUUUCUUCGCUCACAGAAGAUUUUACUACCGGAUAAUUUCUCCAACAUUGAUGUAUUAGAAGCAGAAGUGGAAAUUCUGGAAAUCCCUGCACUCACUGAAGCUGUAAGGUGGUACCGGAUGAACAUGGGCACGGUUGGAGGUGUGGGAAAUGCUCAGUGCUUCAUGCAUCUCACCCGCCCCCAAAUUCCCUCAUCACCUCACAUGGAAACCCCCGGCCGCUGUGCCUGUUUCUGCCUAUUCCUGACGCUUGCUGACCCCUGUCCAGCCUAGGCCUUCGUGCUCCCAGCCCUACCUCAUUCCAGCUUGUUCUUCCCCUCAUGGUUUCCUCAGGGCCGUUCAUCAUUCCAUUUCCCAACUCCACCUCCAUGGAAGCUACUGUGCAUGUUAUAGGGUGCCAGCUACCUGAGCAUGGCUUCAGCCGCCAUCCUGAGAAUAUGUAGAACUGCAUUGCACAUGGGAAGUUUGGCCUGGACAUCGCCAGACAUUUAUCCCAUGGCAAUCAGGCCUUUCCUUAUCUUCAGGCAUAGAUUUCCCAGCCUUCUCCCAGACAAAUAGAAACCCAUCCUCUUGGCUAGGCGCUGGUGGCUGAUGCCUGUAAUCCCAGCAUUUUGAGAGGCCAACACAAGCAGAUCACUUGAGGUCAGGAGUUCGAGACCAGCCUGGCCAACAUGGUGAAACCCCAUCUCUACUAAAAUACAAAAAUUAGCCGGGCAUGGUGGCGCACACCUGUAAUCCCAGCUACUUGGGAGGCUGAGGCAGGAGAAUCGCUUGAACCCAGGAGGUGGAGGCUACAGUGAGCCGAGAUCAUGUCACUGCACUCAAGCCUGGGCAACAGAGUGAGACUCCUUCUCAAAAAAGAAACCCAUCCUCUUUGUGGGGAGUGGCAUGCUCCAGCAGGUCUCAGGACCCUGUCCCAGGGCCUUAUAAUCCGCUUAAGGUGGUGUGAGUUCAGCCCCUUCCCUCAAAGCUUUCUACUCCUCAGAGAACAUAGAUCAUUGUGAGAUGGUAGCGUAGUCCCUGCUCCACAGAGCAAUGCAAAGAUGGAGGAAGUGUGUUGACAGCCAGGCUCUGGAAGCUGGCAGCACUCCUCAAACACAAAGGGUGGCUUUAGCUUUCUACAAAGCAUCACAAUAAGGGAAACAGCUGUGGUAACCUUGGAGAUGGACAGAGCUGACCUCAAAUCCUAGCCCUGCCCCUGCCUAGCUUUGCAGUUUAGGGCAAGAUACUUCAUUAGCCUCUCAGGGCAGGUUCUUCAACGUGAAAUGAUGAUAGCACUACCCCCUCUUGUAGGGUUGCUCUGAGGAUUGGAGAUGAUCCACGAACAUCCCCCAGCAGUGUGCCCACUGGCACACUGUUGCCACGGAAGCAGGGUCCCGAAGGCUGUGAUAACUGUAUUCUCUGGACUGUACUCUGGGCCCACUAUAGGAGAAAAAGGUCCCAUCCAUAAACCAGCAACCCAAAUACCCACCCUGAAAAUAAUGCCACACGGUAUGUCUCAGGGGGAAAUUCUGCCCAGGAGAGCCAGCAAUAGGGGCUGUGAAUCCAGGAAGCCUGUAACACACAUUGAGUUUCCAGGCCAUGGUUGCCGUUCUUUACCUUUGGAUGGUUACAGAAGAGCUUGGAACUAAUGGAGACUCCUGCAGAGGCUGGGGCCAGUUGGCUGCUUUCCUGAAACUUAGGAAAUUCAGAUGCUAGUGAUACAGCAAAUGAAUCCCCCCACUCCCAACUCACCUCCCAACAAAUAGUUAUGACUUCUAAGCCUGAGUAUACAAAAAAAUUAUACUGAUUUUGAGAAGAUCUCGCUUUGGACUGUGCAAGGAAAUAUCCUUCCUCUGAGCCUCCUCGGUACAAUGGAGGCAGCAGUAGGAACCGAGCCCCAAAGCCUCCAAUCCAGCUAUGACCAUGGGGGGCCUAGGAGUCACCCCUUUCUCCCUGACACAGGUGGCUGUUCCCGGACCACCUGUUCUCCCCUGAGCCCCGGGAAGGGGGCCCGCACAGCCAGCCUGGAGUCCAUGAAACCGCUCUACACAAUGGCCCUGGGUCUGCUGGUCAAGUACCCGGACUCUGCGCUGGGCCAGCUUCGCAUCGAGAGCACGCUAGACGGAAGCCGACUGUACAUCACAGGGAACGGCGUCCUCUUUCAGCACGUCAAGAACUGGCUGGGGACUUGCCGGCUGCCCCUGACAGAGACCAUUUCCGAGGUAUAUGAGCUCUGUGCCUUCCUAGACAAAAGGGACAUCACCUACGAGCCAAUGAAAGUGGCUUUGAAGACUCAUCUGGAGCCAAGGACUUUGGCACCCAUGGAUGUGCUCAAUGAGUGGACAGCAGAGAUCACCGUGUAUUCCCCACAACAGAUCAUCAAAGUGUAUGUUGGAAGCCACUGGUAUGCAACCACCCUGCAGACACUGCUGAAGUAUCCAGAACUGCUGUCCAACCCUCAGAGAGUGUACUGGAUCAGAUAUGGACAAACCCUGCUCAUCCACGGGGAUGGCCAGAUGUUCCGACACAUUCUCAACUUCCUGAGACUUGGCAAACUGUUUUUACCAUCUGAAUUUAAGGAAUGGCCCCUCUUCUGCCAGGAGGUGGAGGAAUACCACAUUCCAUCCCUCUCAGAAGCCCUUGCACAAUGUGAAGGAUACAAGUCAUGGACUCAGGAGAAAGAAUCUGAAAAUGAAGAAGCUUUUCCCAUCAGGAGGCUGCACGUGGUGACAGAAGGGCCAGGGUCACUGGUGGAGUUCAGUAGAGACACUAAAGAAACCACAGCCUACAUGCCUGUGGGCUUCGAAGACUGCAGUGAUAGGACUCCAUGGAACAAGGCUAAGGGAAACCUGGCCAGGUCCAACCAGAUGGAGGAGGCUGAGCAGUACACUCGGCCCAUCCAGGUGUCCCUAUGCCGAAAUGCCAAGAGAGCUGGCAACCCUAGCACAUACUCACACUGCCCUGGCUUGUGUACCAAUCCUGGACACUGGGGGAGCCACCCUGAGAGCCCCCCAAAGAAGAAAUGCACCACAAUCAACCUCACACAGAAAUCUGAAACCAAAGACCCUCCCGCCACUCCCAUGCAAAAACUCAUCUCCCUGGUGAGAGAAUGGGACAUGGUCAGUUGCAAACAGUGGGAAUUCCAGCCACUGACAGCCUCCCGGAGCAGCCCUUUGGAGGAGGCCACCCUGCAGCUCCCCUUGGGAAGCGAGGCUGCUUCCCAGCCUAGCACCUCAGCUGCCUGGAAAGCCCAUUCCACAGCCUCAGAGAAGGAUCCAGGACCACAGGCAGGGGCUGGAGCUGGAGUGAAAGACAAGGGGCCAGAGCCAACCUUCAAGCCAUACUUCCCCCCAAAAAGAGCCAGCACCCUGAAGGACUGGAGCAAGCAGAGGACCAAGGAGAGAGAAAGCCCUGCCCCUGAGCAGCCUCUGCCCGAGGCCAGUGAGGUGGACAGCCUAGGGGUUAUCCUCAAAGUGACUCACCCCCCCGUGGUGGGCAGCGAUGGCUUCUGCAUGUUCUUUGAGGACAGCAUCAUCUACACCACGCAGAUGGACAACCUCAGGCACACACCACCCACAGCCAGUCCCCAGCCCCAAGAAGUGACUUUCCUGAGUUUCUCUCUGUCCUGGGAAGAGAUGUUUUAUGCGCAGAAAUGUCACGGCUUCCUGGCUGACAUCAUCCUGGAUUCCAUCAGGCAAAAGGACCCCAAAGCCAUCACAGCCAAGGUGGUCUCCCUGGCCAAUCGGCUGUGGACCCUGCACAUCAGCCCCAAGCAGUUUGUGGUAGAUUUGCUGGCCAUCACUGGCUUCAAGGACGACCGGCACACCCAGGAGUGCCUGUACAGCUGGGUGGAGCUUACACUGCCCUUCGCCAAGAAAUAUGGCCACUGCAUGGACCUGCUCAUCCAGAGGGGCCUGUCUAGGUCUGUCUCGUACUUCAUCCUGGGAAAGUACCUACAAGAGGACUAGGGUGCCCAGAGAUGCAGCCCCUCGUGCCCCACCCGCCAAGUCUCAUUUUAAUUGAAGAUAGCCCCAGAAUGCAUGUGCCCAUCAGAGGGUACAUAUCAGUCUAUUUUUUAUUAUAAACAAAUAAAAGAUUAAAUCACACAUC
rnacentral:sRNA from 1 species